rnacentral:rRNA from 1 species
AUUGAACGCUGGCGGCAGGCCUAACACAUGCAAGUAGAGCGAGCGGAGGACGGGUGAGUCAUGUAUGGGGAUCUGCCCGAUAGAGGGGGAUAACUAAUGGAAACGGUGGCUAAUACCGACAACUAACGGAUGAACACAUAUGGGAUUAGCUAGUAGGUGGGGUAAAGGCUCACCUAGGCGACGAUCUCUAGCUGGUCUGAGAGGAGGAUAAGCCACAAUGGGACUGAGACACGGCCCAGACUCCUACGUGAGGCAGCAGUGGGGAAGAUUGCACAAUGGGCGCAAGCCUGAUGCAGCCAUGCCGCGUGUAUGAAGAAGGCCUUAGGGUUGGAAAGUACUUUCAGCGGGGAGGCGUUACCCGCAGAAGAAGCACCGGCUAACUCCGUGCCAGCAGCCGCGGUAAUUC